UUUGUACUCAGAAGGAAUCUGCAUCUUGAAGCUCUUUCAGCUGUAAUCCACUGUUGUUAUACUGGAGCCCUCUUUGAUGCUGGAAUCAUCUCACAUGGUUACAGAGGCUAACAAGUCCCAAGAUCUGCAGGGUGAGACAAACAGCUGGAGACCCAGGAAAACCAAUGCUGUAAUUCCAGUCCUAAGAAGAGAUGAAAUACUCUGUGACACUGGAGUAGAAAAAAAACCUGGAACUUUCUUUUUAGUUCAUUUAUUACAACUUGGAUUGACAUUGAAAAAAUAGUCAGAGUCUAGGCAUUUAACCUCAUGUCUUCAAAUCUCUAAGAUCUCCAAUGGAAACGGAUCAAAAAAGUUAUUGCUGCCACAAUGGAGAACAAUAUGGAGAUUCCUUUAAAAACUAAAAAUAGAGCUACCAUAUCA